GGCUGGCGACAGGAAUUAAUGGAAACCAUAAAUUACUUCUUGUCUGAGGCGAUUCGUCACUUUGCAGUCCAUCUGGUAGACGAAAUUCCUCAGCGGUGCAGUGUGUCAAGGGAUGAGAAUGUCUUUGUUCUGGGUAGAGCUGCAGCACCAUAACCACUUCAAAGCAGGUUCAUGAGGGUCACACAAUUCACAGCACAAAGCAUUGGCCUGACCUGCAGAGCGCGAUCCACUGGAGAGCCACGGAGCUGCAGGAAAGCCUUUGAUCUCUGUGUGUGCCUGCCAGUUGGCCACUGCUGUCAGAAAUGCCUCUGUUGUUCAUGGGGAAUGGGAAUGUGAUAAAGAAGAUUUCAGAGCGUGCCGUAUGCAAAGUCUCUGCUUUCUCCUGCCUCCAGAAACCUAUGUGGCUCCAGAGCCAGCUGUAUGGCAAAACUUUUUCUGUAGCCACCUCAUUCCCCCAGACAUCAUACUCCUCCAUAUACCACAUGAAGAAAUAAGUAAAACCAAGUCCAAAGACCUUCAGUCAAGUUGUAUUAAAUCUUUUGCAACCACAAAACAUUUCCUCUGCCUGCAUGAACCAUAAGGAGACACCCAUAAUUUAUACAGCCGUGCUGGUGCCAUAAGUUGCUUCAGCCGCCAGCAGUGACAGUGGUGGCCAUGUCCUCCCAGUAUUGCCCAGGAUGGAGGCCAGCUUGCAAGAACGGCUGCCGUGCAAUCAACCUGCAGCAAGAAAAUUAUGGGAAGGGCUGGAGCCUGAAUGCACGAGAAGGGCGUCAAAGGGACUGGCUCCCCGCUCUGCAUGCCUGUGGGCAGCUGAUGGGCCAGUGAGCUGGUUUGGGUAAGCGUCAUUGGUAUCUCUGUCGAGGGCAGGAGAGAGAAUAAGGUAAGGGGCAUGAAAGGAGGAGGAGAGGGUUGGUUUGGAGGAAAUGAGA